rnacentral:rRNA from 1 species
AUUGAACGCUGGCGGCAGGCCUAACACAUGCAAGUCGAACGGUAACAGGAAGAAGCUUGCUUCUUUGCUGACGAGUGGCGGACGGGUGAGUAAUGUCUGGGAAACUGCCUGAUGGAGGGGGAUAACUACUGGAAACGGUAGCUAAUACCGCAUAACGUCGCAAGACCAAAGAGGGGGACCUUCGGGCCUCUUGCCAUCGGAUGUGCCCAGAUGGGAUUAGCUAGUAGGUGGGGUAACGGCUCACCUAGGCGACGAUCCCUAGCUGGUCUGAGAGGAUGACCAGCAACACGGGAACUGAGCCCCGGCCCAGACUCCGACGGGAGGGGGCAGUGGGGAAUUUUGCACAAGGGGCGCAGGCUUGAGGCAGCAAUGCCGCGUGUAGGAAGAAGGCCUUCGGUUUGUAAAGUACUUUCGGGGGGGAGGAAGGGAUAAAAGUUAAUACCUUGCCUUAUUGACGUUACCCGAAGAAGAAGCACCGGCUAACCCCGUG